AGCGAACGCUGGCGGCAGGCUUAACACAUGCAAGUCGAGCGGGCGUAGCAAUACGUCAGCGGCAGACGGGUGAGUAACGCGUGGGAACGUACCUUUUGGUUCGGAACAACACAGGGAAACUUGUGCUAAUACCGGAUAAGCCCUUACGGGGAAAGAUUUAUCGCCGAAAGAUCGGCCCGCGUCUGAUUAGCUAGUUGGUGAGGUAACGGCUCACCAAGGCGACGAUCAGUAGCUGGUCUGGGAGGAUGAUCAGCCACAUUGGGACUGAGACACGGCCCAAACUCCUACGGGAGGCAGCAGUGGGGAAUAUUGGACAAUGGGCGCAAGCCUGAUCCAGCCAUGCCGCGUGAGUGAUGAAGGCCCUAGGGUUGUAAAGCUCUUUUGUGCGGGAAGAUAAAGACGGUACCGCAAGAAUAAGCCCCGGCUAACUUCGUGCCAGCCGCCGCAGUAAAAC
rnacentral:rRNA from 1 species